AGAUAUAGAAAUGGAUCUCCACUAAUCCUAGCAGAUUAAUCGGAUUUACGGAAGGCUGCAGUUCUCAUCUUUGCAAAUAAGCAGGAUGUGAAAGGUUGUAUGACAGCUGCUGAAAUAUCUAAAUACCUCACCCUUAGUUCCAUAAAGGAUCACCCAUGGCACAUUCAGUCCUGCUGUGCUUUGACUGGAGAAGGAUUAUGCCAAGGUUUGGAAUGGAUGACUUCCCAUAUUGGAGUGAGAUAACUUGUUGCAAAAGAGACUGCAUCUAUUUAUUCUGUGAACAUGAACAUUUUCCUGGUACUUCUGGUUGCUAAGGCAGCGACCAUGGUUAAUUUAUAAUGACAGAAACCUCUGAGCAGCACUUGAAUCAAGCGCAGCUGAACUGAAACACACAGUAUUUUUAACUUUUUUAAUGCACUACUCUUCCACAGGAUGAACAUGUGAAUCUGUUUCAGUAUCAAAGUUCUCCUGGCUAUUCUAAUUUUUCGGUGGUUGCCUUGUAAGAUAUCUUUCAUCAUGGAAAAUAUUUCACACUUGAUUUUUGUAAUGAUGCAAAUUGUUUCUGUAAUUUACUACAAUAGAUAAAUGUUUUCAUUAACACUGGAAAAAAAGUGAGUAGAUUGACGCUUACCCUAGCAUAGCUUUAAUGGUUUCAAAAGAUUGGGCU
rnacentral:lncRNA from 1 species